GGAGAGGUGGCCGAGUUGGCUUAAGGCGCUCGCCUGCUAAGCGAGUUUCUCGAGUAAUGUCGGGAACCCGGGUUCGAAUCCCGGCCUCUCCGCUA
rnacentral:tRNA from 1 species